UUUUUCUUCUCAACUUCAACUGAUGGUAAAAUCAAAGCACUUGGUUCCAAUGCAGUUUUUCUUCUGGAUGCAGUUUACUAGCACUUGGUUCCAAUGCAGUGCAUAAACUCUAGCAGUGGCCGUGCGAUGAACGAAAUCCAUCGGGCAAGUCAACUGCAUCUGUUGCUCCUCAGCUCUGUCAGCCACCAAAUGGUAUUCUUAUGACCAAUGAAAGGAGUGAUAACAAUCCAGAAGAAGCAACUGCUUGUAUUGCUUUAUCUAAGAAUGACUCUUAU